CUCUUAGUUGUUGUUUAGAUCGUUGUCUAUGUUUGAGGUGUUCCAGCUUGUCUUUGUUGCUUGUUUCAUGCCAUCCUGUUACCUGACUGCUGAACUCAAACAUCACCACACACCAGUUGAGAAUUCCUCUGUAGUUGUUGUAACCACUGGCUGAACUCAGCAGGGACUCCUGGGUUUUGUGACAGCUUGAGAGGGACAGCAGGCUUGAGGCUGGUGAUGGUCAGGAUCACCAGCGGGUCCUCUCCUGUGUACAGCUGGGCUGCGGCCCACACAGACAUGGGGACGAGCCAAAAGAUGACCACUGCUAAGAACUAGAAUCGGAGCAAAACGCAUUCCAUCUGAAGAGAGACACACCGAGUUUCUGCCGAAAACAAAUACCGAGACCCGGUAUGAGGAAACAGGAACGGCAAAAGGAGCAGUUGACUGUCCUGAGGGAGAUGCAGGCGACAGAUGUGGAGCAGCAGGAGUCGAACCUGGUAGAGCAGGAGCUGAACCCGGCACAGUAGGAGCUGAACCGGGCACAGCGUGUGUAUUUCCAGAUGGCCAUUGAUGAUGCGGUGCGAGCACGGGAGCUGGAAGCGGUCUUGAAUAUGGAGGAGAAUGCUGAAAUUGCAAGCCUUCCUUGGUACACUGAGCCAACUUGUGCAGGCGUUGAGUGGCUGGCGUGACCUGGUUCCUCCGCCCCUGGACUAGACCCAUUUUGUCUAUAGUUUGUACUUUGCACUCAUUUGUAUUUGCACUACAUUUACACUUAUGUACAUAGUUAGCUGUGUUGCACUGAUUUGUUUGCAUUUGAACAUUUAAAUUGUUCUAUUUAUGUAUAUAGUUUGCUUUUUUAUUUGCACAUUUGUUUGUUAAAUAAACUGUUUUGUUACUUGUAACACAUGCAUUUUUAUCAUGGUUUCCUAUUUCAAAGGAUUCCUGAUAACCUUUAAAAAAAAAAGUUUUUAUAGGUGGUAAAAUAGUAGGGGUGGGAAUCUCGAGGUACCUCGCGAUUUGAUUUGAUUCCGAUUCAGAGGGCUACGAUGCGAUGAUAAAACGAUUAUUGAUGUAUCUUGAUGAAUUAAAAUUUUCUAGACAUGA